rnacentral:lncRNA from 1 species
GCGCCUAAAGCAAAUACACACUUUUAAGUUUGCGAGGGCCAUGGAAAAUUCAACUAAUAGCACACUGUGAUUUCUAAAGAUUCAGGAAUAAUUAAACGAGGGCCAUGCAUUUUGAGAUUUUAUUUGGCACGGCAUACCUCGAUUCCAAUUUUUAAAUGAAAUUCAAAACUAAGCUUUUGAGGACCAUAAAUUGUACAUUUGGCUAAUAUAGCACACUUCAAACUAAACUAUGGGAGUUAAUUAAUUAAAAGGGCAAGGGGACAAAAAAUUAUUUUUUAGAAAAAAAAAUGUAAUGUUCAAACCAAAAGCAUUAAUCAAAACACUAGUGUUGCGUUGAAAUUCAAACGAUCAGUGGGUUGGAGUGUCCGGCCCAAUCCUUCUAUUGAAUGCUCGGACGUUCUCUAACGAAGAAACAAGGAAAUUUGGUCUCUCUUGAAGCCCAAAAGUACCGAUGCACACAAGGGUGUCGGCAUUUCUGAAACAAUUAGCCCAUUGCAUGAUUCAAACACAUAAAGCAGGUUACAAAAUGUAUUGCUUCAUGAAAAAUUAAAUAACAGGUUAUUAUCUUUACAACGGAUAUAAAACACAUUUUAGUUUCAAAUUAUCAUUAUUAUAAAAAUAUAGUCCUACAAUACUCAUACACAAUCACUGGCAAUUUUAAUAUCCAGUACCAUUCCUGAUUUUUAAACAAACAGUACUACACGGUUUAAUAAAUAGAAUAAUGAACACUUACCAACAUAAAUUUUAUUUUAUAAUUAACAUACACUAAGGUUCCCAUGUACCAUUAACCUCAUUCUGAGAAUAAUUCAAGACACAUAGCGCAAACCACAACACAAUUCUCAAAUAAACAAAGCAUCGGUUAACAUGAACCUUGACUGAACAUUUUGGUUUCAAAUCUGUGUUCGUCACUUUAGCACCUCAAAAAACAAUUAUUCCCAAAAGAAAAUACUAAUUUCAACUGAACUAAAGCAAUUCUCCACAUAUGUGAUUCAAUUUAUCUUCUUAUACUACAAUCCCAACAAGUCAAUACAUUCAAAACUAUAUUUCAAUAAGCUCACGCCCAAGCUACCAGAUUUGAAUAAAUGUCCAAGUUUACACAUCAAGUUCAAUCUAGCGACAUUGCAUUCAAUAACAUAAAAGGGAGCAUGAUUAUAAAUGAUGGAUAACUAACUUAAAUACACAUGUGGAUGAACUCAAACUACAGAGACAUGAAACUGAUUAAAUCUGCAAAGCCCACAGCCUCACGUAAGGAUGCAUUUACUGGAGAGGUUUUAGGGCUGAAGAAAUAAGCUCAUUUUGCACUUAAUACCUUUUGCAAUUUUGGUUUUUGCUCAAGUAUCCUCAAUUGUAAAAUUAGAUUUUCAGUCUAGUCCCACUCCUCAGCUUCUAGGAAGAUUCCUAUUCUGUUAAAUAGGAUUCUUUCACCUAGACUUCCUAAAUUACCCUUAAUACCUUGUUAAUCACCUCAAGGACCCAAAACAUCAGACAAACGGCCCAAAGGUCUUGGUCUACUACAUUAGCAGGUCCUAUGGCCUCUAGGUUCCUUAAUCUUGGGGCCAUAAUCGUGAUUCAAAAGGCCAUAGACCGCGACCAAUUAAACCUAGAAAUUUUGCAUUCCGGCAUCAAAAGAAAAAUUAAUGGAACAGAUCAAAAGAAACAAGCAACAUAAAAUAAAAAAUACUAAAGAAGAAAAGUGCUAACUAAAAUGCUGAUAAUUAUUUAUGUGACUUAAAUCUUAAGCAUGCAACAUACUGAUUCAAACAAACAAAAGCAGAAAAAUAAAAGAAACUAAGAAGAAAUAAAUAACAUGCAAAUUGAAUUGCAUAUAAGGACAGACAGAAAAGAUAUGAGGUAGAAAGGGGAGAGAGAUAGAAGCAGAGGAACAUCAGAAAAGCAGGAAAAAAUGACGAAAGGCAAUGAAAUACCUAAAAUAGCCAAAUGGGAGAAGGGCUCAAACGGCUUCUAAUAUUUUUCGAUUCAAAGCAAAAAUGAGUGUUAGUCGGUUUGUUCUUGUGAGAUCAAACGUCUAGCACUAAUUUUGACCCAAAGUCAACUUCGGGAGCUAAGAGAGAAAAUGAGUCAGGCCCUUUAAAUAAGGAAUCAAAGGAGAGAAUAAGUGUCAGUUUCCACAUUUGAGAUCUGAAACUAAGUAGAAGUGAAAAGGAUUUAGGUGAAAUUUGUAAUGGUUCAAUGUUUAAUGGAACAUGGGGAUUGUGUGGUUGAAAUUUGGUGAGGGUUUAAAGCUGUCUUGCAGGUGAAAAUGGUGACCUCCUAGAGGUGGCAUUAGGUUAGGGGGGAGAUGGUGAGAUUCUGAUGAGGAGACGAUAGGAAAGGGUGUACUAGGUUAAUGGGGAUUUUCAGACAAUCUUAUGUAAUUGGGGUAAGGAGCUUGAGUUGUUGGAUGCAAAUAAACGAAUGACGGAACGAACUCAAAACUACGUCAUUUGCUUAGGCUAAGGCAUUGGGGAAAAAUUGGGUCUAGAAUUUGAACGGGUUUGGACGAGUUGAGGGGUGAAAGUGAUUUGGGCUGGGGAAGC